rnacentral:rRNA from 1 species
UACGAAGGGGGCUAGCGUUGCUCGGAAUUACUGGGCGUAAAGGGCGCGUAGGCGGGUGUUUAAGUCAGGGGUCAAAUCCCAGAGCUCAACUCUGGAACUGCCUUUGAUACUGGACACCUAGAGUACGGGAGAGGUGUGUGGAACUCCGAGUGUAGAGGUGAAAUUCGUAGAUAUUCGGAAGAACACCAGUGGCGAAGGCGACACACUGGCCCGUUACUGACGCUGAGGCGCGAAAGCGUGGGGAGCAAACAGG